AACCUCCGCAAUGUGAGAAAUCGCGACGGGGGGAUCCCAAGUGCCAUUCUUAACGGGAUGGCUUUUCAUUAGUGUAAAGAGCUUUUGGAAUAAGGGCUGGGCAAGACCGGUGCCAGCCGCCGCGGUAACACCGGCAGCUCUAGUGGUAGCAGUUUUUAUUGGGCCUAAAGCGUCCGUAGCCGGUUUAAUAAGUCUCUGGUGAAAUCCUGUAGCUUAACUGUGGGAAUUGCUGGAGAUACUAUUAGACUUGAGACCGGGAGAGGUUAGAGGUACUCCCAGGGUAGAGGUGAAAUUCUGUAAUCCUGGGAGGACCGCCUGUUGCGAAGGCGUCUAACUGGAACGGUUCUGACGGUGAGGGACGAAAGUUAGGGGCGCGAACCGGAUUAGAUACCCGGGUAGUCCUAACCGUAAACGAUGCGGACUUGGUGUUGGGGUGGCUUUGAGCUGCUCCAGUGCCGAAGGGAAGCUGUUAAGUCCGCCGCCUGGGAAGUACGGUCGCAAGACUGAAACUUAAAGGAAUU
rnacentral:rRNA from 1 species